rnacentral:rRNA from 1 species
AGAGUUUGAUCCUGGCUCAGAACGAACGCUGGCGGCGCGUCUUAAGCAUGCAAGUCGAACGGCAAGGAUGGUGCUUGCACUAUCCCUAGAGUGGCGGACUGGUGAGUAACACGUGGGUGACAUACCCUUAGGAUGGGGAUAGCCAGUAGAAAUACUGGGUAAUACCGAAUAGGACCACGAAUAGUGAUGUAUUAGUGAGGAAAGGAGCUAAGGCUUCGCCUAAGGAAUGGCCCGCGGCCCAUUAGCUAGUUGGAGUGGUAAAGGCACACCAAGGCGAUGAUGGGUAUCCGGCCUGAGAGGGUGAACGGACACAUUGGGACUGAGAUACGGCCCAGACUCCUACGGGAGGCAGCAGCUAAGAAUAUUCCGCAAUGGACGAAAGUCUGACGGAGCGACGCCGCGUGAACGAAGAAGGCCGGAAGGUUGUAAAGUUCUUUUGAAACUGAAGAAUAAGUAUUGCAGGGAAUGGCGAUAUGGUGACGGUAGGUUUUGAAUAAGCAACGGCUAAUUACGUGCCAGCAGCCGCGGUAACACGUAAGUUGCGAGCGUUGUUCGGAAUUAUUGGGCGUAAAGGGCAUGUAGGCGGUUUUGCAAGCUUGGUGUGAAAUGCAUAGGCUCAACCUAUGAACUGCAUUGAGAACUACAAGACUUGAGUUACUGAGGUGGAACUGGAAUUCCAGGUGUAGGGGUGAAAUCUGCAGAUAUCUGGAAGAACACCAAUGGCGAAGGCAAGUUUCAAGCAGAUAACUGACGCUGAGGUGCGAAGGUGCGGGGAGCAAACAGGAUUAGAUACCCUGGUAGUCCGCACAGUAAACGAUGUACACUAGGUGUUUGGUCAGAAGACUGGGUGCCAAAGCAAACGUGAUAAGUGUACCGCCUGGGGAGUAUGCCCGCAAGGGUGAAACUCAAAGGAAUUGAC